CGCUCAGGCUGCAGCACGUUAGAAUCACUGCUUUUAGAACUCCCCAAGCCCGGAAUGUAACCAGACCAAUUAAUUCAGAAUCCCUCCGGAGAGACUCAAGCAUCAGUAUUUUAAAAGUUCCCUGGGUGAUUACAGAGUUCAGCCUGGCCUGAGAGCUACGUUCCAGAUUAAGGUAGAUGAAGAGGUGGAAUCCCGUUCCAGUUUGCUGCGUUGUGUUUUGCAAGAACCCUUCACCGGCGGGAUUGUUCAGUUCUAUCAGAAAAUCCACAGCAUUUAUAACGACUGGGAGUUUGGGGGUGCACUGCCUGAGGAGGGCCUCUGUGGUGGCACACUCCUACCUACACCCUUGGGUAAUGCCCUCCCCUGAGGGUGGCCUGAACCUGCAGAGCUGCUUCUCACGGAGAGAAUACAACAAAAGUGAGGAGACCUCCCUUCAGAGAUCAGGUUACAAAAGGCUGCAACUUCUGAGCUGCUCAGACUUUCUCUCUGGCUCUUCUUUCGCUCUGAGGAAGCCAGCUGCUGCGUUGUGA
rnacentral:lncRNA from 9 species